UACAGAGGUCCCAAGCGUUGUUCGGAUUCACUGGGCGUAAAGGGUGCGUAGGUGGUGAGGUAAGUCGGAUGUGAAAGCUCCGAGCUCAACUCGGAAAUGGCAUUGGAAACUACCUUGCUGGAGGGUUUGAGGGGGGACUGGAAUACUUGGUGUAGCAGUGAAAUGCGUAGAUAUCGUCAAGAACACCUAUAGCGAAGGCAGCUUACUAGGCUGUAACUGACGCUGAGGCACGAAAGUGUGGGGAUCAAACAGG
rnacentral:rRNA from 1 species